GAUGAACGCUGGCGGCGUGCCUAAUACAUGCCAGUCGAGCGAACGGACGAGAAGCUUGCUUCUCUGAUGUUAGCGGCGGACGGGUGAGUAACACGUGGAUAACCUACCUAUAAGACUGGGAUAACUUCGGGAAACCGGAGCUAAUACCGGAUGAUAUUUUGAACCGCAUGGUUCAAAAGUGAAAGACGGUCUUGCUGUCACUUAUAGAUGGAUCCGCGCUGCAUUAGCUAGUUGGUAAGGUAACGGCUUACCAAGGCAACGAUGCACAGCCGACCUGAGAGGGUGAUCGGCCACACUGGAACUGAGACACGGUCCAGACUCCUACGGGAGGCAGCAGUAGGGAAUCUUCCGCAAUGGGCGAAAGCCUGACGGAGCAACGCCGCGUGAGUGAUGAAGGUCUUCGGAUCGUAAAACUCUGUUAUUAGGGAAGAACAUAUGUGUAAGUAACUGUGCACAUCUUGACGGUACCUAAUCAGAAAGCCACGGCUAACUACGUG
rnacentral:rRNA from 1 species